rnacentral:rRNA from 1 species
AUUGAACGCUGGCGGCAGGCCUAACACAUGCAAGUCGAGCGAGCGGCGGACGUGAGAGUAAUGUGUGGGGCUGUGCGCGAGAGAGGGGGAACACCUCUGAAAACGGGCGCUAAUAGCGCAUUCUCACGGAUGAACCAAUAGGGGAGUAUCGUGUAGGUGGGGUAAAGGCUCACCUAGGCCACGAUCUCUAGCUGGUCUGAGAGGAUGACCAGCCACACUGGGACUGAGACACGGCCCAGACUCCUACGGGAGGCAGCAGUGGGGAAUAUUGCACAAGGGGCGCAAGCCUGAUGCAGCCAUGCCGCGUGUAUGAAGAAGGCCUUAGGGUUGUAAAGUACUUUCAGCGGGGAGGCGUUACCCGCAGAAGAAGCACCGGCUAACUCCGUGCCAGCAGCCGCGGUAAUAC